UGACCUCGGAUCAGGUAGGGAUACCCGCUGACA
rnacentral:rRNA from 1 species